rnacentral:rRNA from 1 species
ACCUACGGGACGCAGCAGUGGGGAAUUUUGGACAAUGGGGGCAACCCUGAUCCAGCAAUGCCGCGUGUGUGAAGAAGGCCUUCGGGUUGUAAAGCACUUUUGGCGGGAACGAAACGGUGAUCUCUAAUACAGGUUGCUAAUGACGGUACCCGCAGAAUAAGCACCGGCUAACUACGUGCCAGCAGCCGCGGUAAUACGUAGGGUGCAAGCGUUAAUCGGAAUUACUGGGCGUAAAGCGUGCGCAGGCGGUUAUGUAAGACAGAUGUGAAAUGCCCGGGCUUAACCUGGGAACUGCAUUUGUGACUGCAAAGCUAGAAUCUGGCAGAGGGGGGUAGAAUUCCACGUGUAGCAGUGAAAUGCGUAGAGAUGUGGAGGAACACCGAUGGCGAAGGCAGCCCCCUGGGCCGAGAUUGACGCUCAUGCACGAAAGCGUGGGGAGCAAACAGGAUUAGAUACCCGGGUAGUCC